UAGAGUUUGAUUCUGGCUCAGAUUGAACGCUGGCGGCAUGCCUUACACAUGCAAGUCGAACGGCAGCGCGGGGCAACCUGGCGGCGAGUGGCGAACGGGUGAGUAAUAUAUCGGAACGUGCCCUGGAGUGGGGGAUAACGCAGCGAAAGUUGCGCUAAUACCGCAUACGAUCUAAGGAUGAAAGCAGGGGACCGCAAGGCCUUGUGCUCCUGGAGCGGCCGAUAUUGAUUAGCUAGUUGGUGGGGUAAAGGCCUACCAAGGCAUCGAUCAGUAGCUGGUCUGAGAGGACGACCAGCCACACGGAACUGAGACACGGUUCAGACUCCUACGGGAGGCAGCAGUGGGGAAUUUUGGACAAUGGGCGAAAGCCUGAUCCAGCAAUGCCGCGUGAGUGAAGAAGGCCUUCGGGUUGUAAAGCUCUUUUGUCAGGGAAGAAACGGUGUGGGCUAAUAUCCUGCACUAAUGACGGCACCUGAAGAAUAAGCACCGGCUAACUACGUGCCAGCAGCCGCGGAAUAC
rnacentral:rRNA from 1 species